rnacentral:rRNA from 1 species
AGUGGGGGACAACAGUUGGAAACGACUGCUAAUACCGCAUAAUCCCUGAGGGGGAAAGAUUUAUCGCUUUAAGAUUGGCCCGCGGAAGAUUAGGUAGUUGGUGGGGUAAAGGCCUACCAAGCCGACGAUCUAUAGCUGGUCUGAGAGGACGAACAGCCACAUUGGAACUGAGACACGGUCCAGACUCCUACGGGAGGCAGCAGUGAGGAAUAUUGGGCAAUGGAGGAAACUCUGACCCAGCCAUGCCGCGUGAGUGAAGAAGGUUUUCGAAUUGUAAAGCUCUUUCGGAUGGGACGAUGAUGACGGUACCAUCUAAAGAAGCCCCGGCAAACUUCGUGCCAGCAGCCGCGGUAAUACGAAGGGGGCAAGCGUUGUUCGGAAUUACUGGGCGUAAAGGGUGUGUAGGCGGAUUUGUAAGAUAGUGGUGAAAUACCUGAGCUCAACUUAGGAAUUGCCAUUAUAACUAUAGAUCUGGAGUGACAGAGAGGAUAUUGGAAUACCCAGUGUAGAGGUGAAAUUCGUAGAUAUUGGGUAGAACACCAGUGGCGAAGGCGAGUAUCUGGCUGUCAACUGACGCUGAGGCACGAAAGCAUGGGGAUCAAACAGGAUUAGAUACCCUGGUAGUCCAUGCUGUAAACGA